UACGUAGGGUGCAAGCGUUGUCCGGAAUUAUUGGGCGUAAAGAGCUCGUAGGCGGUUUGUCGCGUCUGCUGUGAAAACGCGGGGCUCAACUCCGCGCCUGCAGUGGGUACGGGCAGACUAGAGUGCAGUAGGGGAGACUGGAAUUCCUGGUGUAGCGGUGAAAUGCGCAGAUAUCAGGAGGAACACCGAUGGCGAAGGCAGGUCUCUGGGCAUUAACUGACGCUGAGGAGCGAAAGCAUGGGGAGCGAACAGG
rnacentral:rRNA from 1 species